CUUCAUCUUGCCUCUCACCGAAUACCAUCAUUUGCCUGUGUCUCUUGAAGGAGGUAACCAGAGACACUGUAGGAAAUCUAGAAAACAAUCUGGGUCUGGAAGCUGUGACAGGACACACUGGUGCCAUGACUGGUGACUAAUCCCUUUUGCAGUCAACAUGAUUCUCAAGACACACACUGCGGGUCUGAUCUAUUGACUGCUCCCCCAGCAAUUGCAUAUCAUCUCAUCCUUUCUGCUCUGCAACAUGAAAGGGGACAAGACAAAUUAAAGUCUGUCUGUGAUACUCAAUAUCCAGGCACACAGGUAGACUGGAAUCAACUGGGAAGUUCUCUCUUGAGAUUGCUCAGAGAAUUGCAGACAUCUGUUUGCCAGGGCUGAAG
rnacentral:lncRNA from 1 species